rnacentral:rRNA from 1 species
AAAAUCUUUAAAAGACGGUAGAAGUAAAAAUCAUCUAUUAAAGAGAAUAGAAAAUUCCUUAGAUAUAGAUUAAAGUAAGUGCGGGAGGCGAACCCGGGGAAGUGAAACAUCUCAGUACCCGGAGGAGAAGAAAUCAAAAGAGAUUCCCAAAGUAGCGGCGAGCGAAAUGGGAAGAGCCCAAACCAGGUGCUUUCGAGUAUCUGGGGUUGUAGGGCCUCCGUGUUGCGAUCCAUGAGUAGAUAGCAGAAGUACCUGGGAAGGUACCCCAUAGAGGGUGAAAGGCCCGUAUGCGAAAUCGAAAGUGGCGCAGGAGGUACCUGAGUACCGCGGGACACGUGAAAUCCCGUGGGAAUCUGGGAGGACCAUCUUCCAAGGCUAAAUACUACCUGACGACCGAUAGCGCACUAGUACCGUGAGGGAAAGGUGAAAAGAACCCCUGUUAGGGGAGUGAAAUAGAACCUGAAACCGCAUGCCUACAAUCAGUCGAAGCUCUUUUUAGAGUGACGGCGUACCUUUUGUAUAAUGGGUCAGUGACUUAAUUUGUAUAGCAAGCUUAAGCCGAUUAGGUGGAGGCGCAGCGAAAGCGAGUCUUAAUAGGGCGUUUAGUUAUAUGAAUUAGACCCGAAAACGAAUGAGCUUACCAUGAGCAGGUUGAAAGUUGGGUAACACCAACCGGAGGACCGAACCAGUUGACGUUGAAAAGUCUUUGGAUGACUUGUGAUAAGGGGUGAAAGACCAACCAAAUUCGUAGAUAGCUGGUUUUCCGCGAAAACUAUUUAGGUAGUGCGUUGAAUAAACAGGCUUUUGGAGGUAGAGCACUAAAUGGGCUAGGGGAGAGAAAUCUUUACCAAACCUAAUAAAACUCCGAAUACCAAAAGUCAUUCCUCAACAGACAGACUGUGGGUGCUAAGGUCCAUGGUCGAGAGGGAAAAAGCCCAGACCACCAGAUAAGGUCCCCAAAUUAUGAUUAAGUGUGAAAGGAUGUGGAAAUUCCUUAACAGCCGGGAGGUUGGCUUAGAAGCAGCCAUCCUUUAAAGAUAGCGUAACAGCUCACCGGUCUAAUAGAGUUUCUGCGCCGAAGAUGUAACGGGGCUAAAAUCAUAUACCGAAUCUGUGGAUUUGUAAUUUCUUCGGAAAUUACAUCUGGUAGCGGAACGUUCUGUAAGCCUGUGAAGGAAUACCCGUGAGGGAUUCUGGAGGUAUCAGAAGUGCGAAUGCUGACAUAAGUAACGAUUAACAGAGUGAAAAACUCUGUCGCCGAAAAUCCAAGGGUUUCUGCGCAAGGUUAAUCCGCGCAGAGUUAGUCGGCCCCUAAGACAAGGGCGUAAGCCGUAGUCGAUGGGAACCAGGUUAAUAUUCCUGGACCAGAUGGUAGUGACGGAUUUUGUAAAUUGUUAACUCUUAAUGGAUUGAGUCAGCUGUGAAAAAGUCCCAGGAAAUAGCUCCAUCAUUAGACCGUACCCUAAACCGACACAGGUGGAUUAAUAGAGUAUAUUUAGGCGCUUGAGAGAAUGAUGUUGAAGGAACUCGGCAAAAUGCUUCUGUAACUUCGGAAUAAAGAAGACCUUUUUUUGGGCAACCAUUUAAAGGUGGCACAAGCCAGGGAGAAGCGACUGUUUAUCAAAAACACAGGGCUCUGCUAACACGUAAGUGGAUGUAUAGGGUCUGACGCCUGCCCGGUGCUGGAAGGUUAAUGCGAUGGGUGCAAGCUCAUUUCUGAAGCCCCAGUGAACGGCGGCCGUAACUAUGACGGUCCUAAGGUAGCGAAAUUCCUUGUCGGGUAAGUUCCG